CUGGUUGAUCCUGCCAGAGGUUACUGCUAUCGAGGUUCGACUAAGCCAUGCGAGUCGAAUGUAGCAAUACAUGGCGAACUGCUCAGUAACACGUGGACAACCUGCCCUUAGGUUGGGUAUAAACCCGGGAAACUGGGUAUAAUACCCGAUAGGUCUCGAUUGCUGGAAUGCAUCGAGAUUUAAAGCUCCGGCGCCUAAGGAUGGGUCUGCGGCCUAUCAGGUAGUAGUGGGUGUAGCGUACCUACUAGCCUACGACGGGUACGGGUUGUAAGAGCAAGAGCCCGGAGAUGGAUUCUGAGACACGAAUCCAAGCCCUACGGGGUGCAGCAGGCGCGAAAACUUUACAAUGCUGGCAACAGCGAUAAGGGAACCUCGAGUGCCAGGUUACAAAUCUGGCUGUCGAGAUGCCUAAAAAGCAUUUCAUAGCAAGGGCCGGGCAAGACCGGUGCCAGCCGCCGCGGUAACACCGGCGGCUCGAGUGGUAACCGUUAUUAUUGGGUCUAAAGGGUCUGUAGCCGGCCGGAUAAGUCUCUUGAGAAAUCUGGCAGCUUAACUGUCAGGCUUUCAGGAGAUACUGUCUGGCUCGAGGCCGGGAGAGGUGAGAGGUACUUCAGGGGUAGGGGUGAAAUCUUGUAAUCCUUGAAGGACCACCAGUGGCGAAGGCGUCUCACCAGAACGGACCUGACGGCAAGGGACGAAAGCUAGGGGCACGAACCGGAUUAGAUACCCGGGUAGUCCUAGCCGUAAACGAUACUCGCUAGGUGUCGGCCACGGUGCGACCGUUGUCGGUGCCGUAGGGAAGCCGUGAAGCGAGCCACCUGGGAAGUACGGCCGCAAGGCUGAAACUUAAAGGAAUUGGCGGGGGAGCACCACAACGGGUGGAGCUUGCGGUUUAAUUGGAUUCAACGCCGGA
rnacentral:rRNA from 1 species